rnacentral:lncRNA from 1 species
GUCCUUCUUUGUUACGUUGUUCACUGAAACAAAGUACCAGUUAGGUGUAUUUUCCGAAUAUUGCCGAGUGACGUGGAAAUUAGAUAACAUUACGGAAGGGCACAUUAUGGUAUCGAAAACGAACGAGACGAAUGAUAUACAUGUGGUUAAACUAGUACAUUCAUUUGUUGUGCUUAAAAUGAACUUUGUGAGAUGGGUUUGUAAAAUUAAGAUGCAAAUAUAUAUAUCUAUUUUAGAACUUAAUUCGUAUUAUGUUUUACAAACAAGUUUAUUCAAG